rnacentral:lncRNA from 1 species
GGCUCGACUGCUAUUCUUUUUCUGCACACUUCCUCCUCUAACCUACGAACAGACUUUUUUCUCUAUGGUAGCUUCAAUUUGGGAGCCAUUUCAGACAAGAGAGAUUUGCAAACAGCUUAGGAGACUUAAUGAGAGGAGAGUGGAAAGGAUUUUAGGAGAAAAAUAAAGAUUUUGGAGAGAUAGACCGUUGAUUUGGAGAAGAGGGUUUGAAGCUAGAGGGUAAGUUUGAUCCACCCAAAUGGGGAAGAAAAAGAAAGGGGAUUUAGUUCCUAAAAGGGCGAUUUGAAGAGGGAAACAU